rnacentral:rRNA from 1 species
GCGCACGCUGGCGGCAGGCUUAACACAUGCAGGUCGAGCGGGCACUCCGGUGUCAGCGGCAGACGGGUGAGAAACACGUGGGAAGGAACCCUUUGGUUCGGAAUAACGCUGGGAAACUAGCGCUAAUACCGGAUACGCCCUUUUGGGGAAAGGCUUGCUGCCGAAGGAUCGGCCCGCGUCUGAUUAGCUAGUUGGUGGGGUAAUGGCCUACCAAGGCGACGAUCAGUAGCUGGUCUGAGAGGAUGAUCAGCCACACUGGGACUGAGACACGGCCCAGACUCCUACGGGAGGCAGCAGUGGGGAAUAUUGGACAGUGGGCGCAAGCCUGAUCCAGCCAUGCCGCGUGAGUGAUGAAGGCCUUAGGGUUGUAAAGCUCUUUUGUCCGGGACGAUAAUGACGGUACCGGAAGAAUAAGCCCCGGCUAACUUCGUG